GACGGAGGAUGCAAGUGUUAUCCGGAAUCACUGGGCGUAAAGCGUCUGUAGGUGGUUCAAAAGUCCACUGUUAAAGAUUGAAGCUUAACUUCAAAAAUGCCGUGGAAACUUUGAAACUUGAGUAUGAUAGGGGUAGAGGGAAUUUCCAGUGGAGCGGUGAAAUGCGUAGAUAUUGGAAAGACCACCAAUGGCGAAGGCACUCUACUGGGCCAUUACUGACACUGAGAGACGAAAGCUAGGGGAGCAAAUGGG
rnacentral:rRNA from 1 species